rnacentral:rRNA from 1 species
CCUACGGGAGGCAGCAGUGAGGAAUAUUGGUCAAUGGACGCAAGUCUGAACCAGCCAUGCCGCGUGCAGGAAGACGGCUCUAUGAGUUGUAAACUGCUUUUGUACGAGGGUAAACGCAGAUACGCGUAUCUGUCUGAAAGUAUCUUACGAAUAAGGAUCGGCUAACUCCGUGCCAGCAGCCGCGGUAAUACGGAGGAUUCAAGCGUUAUCCGGAUUUAUUGGGUUUAAAGGGUGCGUAGGUGGUUGGUUAAGUUAGAGGUGAAAGCCCGAGGCUCAACUUCGGAAUUGCCUCUGAUACUGUCAGGCUAGAGGAUAGUUGCGGUAGGCGGAAUGUAUGGUGUAGCGGUGAAAUGCUUAGAGAUCAUACAGAACACCGAUUGCGAAGGCAGCUUACCAAGCUACUUCUGACGUUGAGGCACGAAAGCGUGGGGAGCAAACAGGAUUAGAUACCCGGGUAGUC